GGAUGAUCUUGAUAGCUGCAGCCUCUGGAGAAGGCUCUCUUCAAACAAGAAUUUGAAGGAGCUCGAUCUCUUCAAACAAGAUCCUGCAGAGGCUCCACUUGUUUCUCCCAGGAAUGACUGCGUGAUAAGGUAGGCACGAGCACUUGCCUCAAUAGUGUUGUGUGGAAAAAGCGUUUGACAUAACUUCCACUAGACCUCAGCACUCGUCUUGGCCUUUCGCAUUUCAAACUAUUUUUUGUUUCUUCAGGCUGAGCUGAGGGUCUCUUGAAAGCAGGAUUAGAAUCCAAGGAAAAACGAAGGAAAACUGUUCUGCUCCUGCGGAUGUGACUAGGGCGGUCAUGCAGCCCCUGAGGGAUGGGCAGGAAUGACCGAUGGAGAGGCAGACCUGGCACGACAUCCACCAGAACAGACCAAAACCCUUCGCUGGGGCCGGAGGAACCGCUGCCGCCGCACUUGUCUUGGAAGGGGCUCAAGAAUGAUGCAGUAGAUGGCAGAAUGGCCCUGCACAGAAGGCUGGAGACUCACAGGUAAUAUUUUUACAAGAAGUGAAGUAUUUAUCUUAGAGUUUCUCAUUUCAUUUAUGGAUGGACACUUGAAGAAAAAACCCCAGGCCCUGGCUGUUGGCUCUCAGCACCUCUAAUUUGUUACUUUGAUUUUGCAUUAAGAAUGUCUUGGUAAAGUUGCACUAUACUUUGAGGUG
rnacentral:lncRNA from 1 species